rnacentral:rRNA from 1 species
UGAGCAACCUGCCCUUGACUCUGGAAUAAACAGCUGGAAACAGCUGCUAAUACCGGAUAUGACCUCUUCCGACAUCGGGCGAAGUGGAAAGCUCCGGCGGUCAAGGAUGGGCUCGCGGCCUAUCAGCUAGUUGGUGAGGUAACGGCUCACCAAGGCGACGACGGGUAGCCGGCCUGAGAGGGUGACCGGCCAUACUGGGACUGAGGCACGGCCCAGACUCCGUACGGGAGCA